UCUAAUGGUCUUCGGUAGUAGCAUUGAAUAGAAUCAAUUUUAUCAGCGAUUUAGUUUGAUUUCGUUGUUUCUCGCUAUAAGUUCUUUAUAAAAGGUUUACGGUGUUAUUAUGAGUCACAAGAAGACUUCAAACUAUUAUUUUUGGUAGUAUAUUUUUGUUUCAUAAUGUAAUUGUCAGUACUGAAACUGUUAAUAUACUCGGAGUGUUUUUGAGCUCUGGUCAGUCACGAAAACUCAAACACACAGGCGUUGAGAGGACAUUAGUUAAACAGGCUCAAAAUCUAUCAGUUAUUGCAUCAAGGACUUUAACAAAUAAAAAUCCAACCUAAUAACACCUCAAUUUAAAGAAUCUCAAAGUAUUUAAUGCAAACCUUAUAGGUAAAGUGAAUGACUUAUCGUUUUUCCCUAAACUCCUUACAAACUACCUGAUAUUUUGUGGAAAUUUGUUUUUUUGUCAAAAAAUCAAAUCGGUUUCCGGAAUUAGUUCCGUUUAAACAAUUGUUUGACCUAAAAGUGAUGUACGUUUAUUCAGACAAUGAAGCCUUUCCGCCCGUCAGGUAUUUGACAUUCAAACAAAUGGAGAACAAUAUCUCAAAUGUUCUCUUUAAUAAUCACUUAAGUGAUAGCCCAGAUAUACCCUUAUAUUCAGGACUGCUCGAAAUCGAUGAUCUUCAAAUUAAGGACAAUUCACAUUCCUUAGAAAGUGAUAUUUUGGAAUUUCUUGAAAAUUCAAGCUCAUACUCAAUCAAAGGUGCCAUUUCGAGCAAUCUUGCUGCCAAAACAAGCUACUUAUGCACACCCUUAAUUUUUUAUAUUUGUUUAUUAUUAUUUAUUAAUAUAUUAAUGCCUAUGAAAGUCACUUUUGGUAAAAUGUUUAUGUUAUUAAAAUUUUUGAUUUUAAAAAUUUAUUCUUACACAUGUGCCAGGUGCAGAAGAAAGCAAAAUAUUAAUGAAGAUUGAAUGCAAAUAGUGCUAAAAAAAUUGGACAUUAACAUUUUAGGUAUCAAUCAAAAUGAAUUUGUUGUAAAUUCUUUAAUUUGUUUAAAGA